GGAAUAGAAAUAUUCUCAGUCGUUUCAGGCCACUGAAACCGGAGAUAAACGCUGGCCUGAUGGGCCACAUUGGCUCGUGACAGAUUUAAUUUCUUUUCCGUGGGAAAUGGCCACAGCCGCUAGCCAGUGGCUUCCACAGGUGGAUGGGG